UGAGUAAAAAUGCCGCGGGCUUUAUUGUGCUAUGAGUUUAGAUAUUUAGGUGUAUUUAGCUAGGAAGUGUCCUUAGUAGACUUCUGUACAAAGUAGUAUUCUGAUGCCCUAGUUAAUCAGUGUUUCUAUCAAUGACCCUGCUGUUGCCUUAUACCUUAUCAGAGUUGUUUCCUCACAUACUAGUGGCAGUAACCCCUCCAUCGUGAGGGUUAGGAUGAAUAGUUUUACCAUGCUAAUGAUCCAAUAUACUGUAUCUGUGUAGAUUUGCAUGAUGUGAUAGUGUGCACAAGAAUAAGAUAUGUCGGUGAUGCUUCCGCACUUGUUCUCUUUUUAUUUGUUCACUUUGUUGAUGAAUGGCCUUUUGUGUUCUUGUCAAUUAAUUCGUUAGGUUAUAUCUGUACCUUAGGUUAGCUCCACUGUUAUAGCAAACUUAUAUGACUGUCUUUGGAUCCAAAAAUGGACACGCCGGUUUGUAGUUGCACAGAUUAGUGACUGGCUGGUUGGGUUAUGCAGCUGCUGCCAUCAAUAAGUUCCCUUUCUAUAUUGUGACUAAUAGCUAGUAAUGCCAGAGAUGGUUGCAAAAUCUGGGUAGAUUAAUUCUACUUUGGGUGAUUUAGUUGAGGUGGGUGUAGAAUUCUAAUGCAGCAUAAUGGACCAUGAAUAGGUACUGAAUUAUAGAAAGUUAUUAGACGUCUUACUGCAGUUGAAAAUGUAAUGCUAGUGGUUAAAGGCCCCAACCCUUCAUUACAAAGGCCCCAACCCUUCAUUACUAGCUAUUCAUAAUCUGCACCCACUCCCUCCCAUUUACCAAUCUUUUGGCUCACAUUGCAGAUACAGAUGUUAAUGCCAUUAUAUUAUUGCUUAUUGCUUACUGAAAUAUAAUAGACCUCAUGUGCACCAAUCCGGAUUAGAAAGUUCAAACACAGUCCAAGUUGGCCGAUCCCUUCUAACGUAACACACACUAGAAGUGACACUCGAAUGAAUACGAAGCUCUACAUGUUUAUGUCGAAAACUACAGUUUUACCAGGGACAAGGUAAUUACAGACUCACCACUAGGGUUUUACCUACAGUUUUACCAGGGACAAUGUAAAACAAAGCGACGGAUUGGAUUACGUGAAGGAGAGAGUAAAAGAUUCCGUGGGUGUGAUGUGACCGACUGCUUCAGAUUUGCUUCCUCCCGCCCAAUCCCUCACAUGCAAACCCCCAAAAAAAAAAAAAAAAAAUCAAGCACAUGCAUUACAAAAUUACUAUUUUGUCCCGUACUAUUUUCAUGCUUUUGGCACUACAACUCUGAACGUACGAGACUACCCCCUCAUGAUUCAUUGCCAUACUAAACUAACAAUGCCAAUGAAUUCUUCCGUUGAAAGUUUACCAUGAGAAAAUAUAGAACAUUAUACUCAGAAGCACUAUAGAAUACCUUCGCCGUUAAAUUUUAGGACGGUGUGCCGAAUUGAGUGUCUAGGUCAAGCUGAAGGGGGUAAGAAGUAAUUUUUGCUAGGGCAAGAUUUGAAAAAUUAAUUAUAGUAAAACUAUCUUAAUUGUGGGAUUCCAAUCCUUGGUAACAACAAUGCCCGUAGCUUAAGUUAAUAAUUUCUGUGCACCGAUAAACGACACCAACUCCAUUAUAAAUUAGUGCAGCCCUUCCCUAUUAAUCAAAUACCCCUUCAAUUUCCCAACCUGCCCUUCGAACAUUUGAAUAUCAUUAUGUCUGACAAGGGCAAUAAAGUCUUUCUACACAUAGGGUGCUCCCUCCAAUGCUGCCAAAUCACUGGUCUAAGUGUACAUGAAGAGAAAGAAAACAUAAACAAAAAAAUAAAAAAGAGCAUAUGAUGAGCUCAGGCUCAUGGCUUUUAGUAGACAUGUACAGAAACUGAGCAGCACUUGUCCUUUGAUUCAACCAUGGUCUUCUUUGAGUGAUUGAGUUAGAGAGAGGGUUUAGAGUUUUGUGUGUGCAUUAUUCAUUCUUCAUUUCUUCAACUUCAACUUCAACUUCAACCUCUCAGUCUAUCACACUCUUUUAUCAUCCCAAGCAUGCUUUCUCUCACUAGCGUUGUGUCUCACCACAUCAGUAAACUUCCUCCCUUUUUCUCUCACUAGACCCUCCACACUUUUGCUUUACUGCUCUUUUGCCUUGUUCUGAUUGUUUCUUUUAGGGAGUGCCCUUUACUCUUUUUUUUUNUUUUUGUUUGGUUACAAUUAAUUGACUGUGCUAUUUUACAUGGUGGGUUUGGCGGUUUCUGUCCUAAAUAUUAAGGCUUUGAGUGCAAGAGAUUGAAGAACAUGAUUACAUCUGCUGUUGGUUGCUUGUUGGGUUUUCCUUUUGCUUCACUUAUCUGAGAUCUGGUGGGGUAAGCACUCUGUUCUUUUAUUAUUUGGCUUAGAAUGCAAGUGAAAUAUCCAGUCUGGGAUUUCUUUUUUCAUUUAUAUUUAUUGCCAGAAUCAUGCUUUUGGGUGUUUUAGCUGUCUUGCUUUACUCAUUUUCUGGGAUCUUUUAGAGUCAAUAGGAAGGAUGGUGCUUUUUCUUAGUUUGGCAGAGAUCAGAGUUUGGGUGGUUUGAGGUUUAUGUGAUUCCAAAGCUUGGAAUCAUUGAUAGGUUGAUUGCCUUUCUAAGAAUUGGUGUUUGGGAAGGUUCAAGAUAAAUUAUUAUUUUUUCUGUUUCUGGAAUUUGACUCCAUUGGUGGGAGUAUGAGCUUGCAGCUAUUGUGAAUGUGAUUGUUGCAAUAAUAAAAUGCAUUGCCAUCAGUAUCUGUGUAUUACUGUAAGUCUAUAUUUGUUUGCAGUUUUGGUUUUAUGCUUGUUUGUGAUUUCUUCUGUUGUUGUCAAAGACAUAUAAAAGCAUAGGUCUUAUCAAUUGUCUGUAGCGGAGCUUGAAACUUGACUUUUCUCAAAGGAGGUGGUUUGGCAUAUAGUGCACAUUGUGCUUAGAUGUCUUGGAUUUCAACUUUUCUCGGUAAAUUAGCUGAGUGCUUUCAAUCUGGUGUAUUUUGUAUAACUCAAUCAGCAUACAAGUUUGCUGAAAGAAUGUUAGUGUGGAAUCAAAGUUGAAGGGUCAAUUUCUUGUUGAAGAUCAUAGAUGGUAUGUAUGCAUAACAAUUGGUCCUGCAGGACUUGAUCUCUAUCUUCUGUUAAUGAUUUUUGCAGGACUUCAGAUGUGUCGAUGGGACUAGAAAUGGAGUUCGAGAAAAAUUGCAGAGUGGGUCUGAGUCCCAACACUGUUCUUCCAACUCAUCGGCAUUCCUGUGUUGAAAAGAGGAGCACAAAAGGAAGGCCGCCACGCAGAGAUGAUCUAUUGAGUAUCAAGGAGGGGUUUGUGGAAAUCAGCUUUCAACGCUAUCGCAGCACUUCUUGUAAGGUACCAUCUAGACCUGUUGGACAGGAAGUUAACGUUGAACUUAAGCGAGGUUCUAUAUAUCAAAGCUCCAAGGAGGUUAGGGAAAUUAAGAAAAUGGGCACUGCUGAGGGAAGGAAAAAGAUUGAAAAGUCUCGAAGUAGUGACUCCUCUUUCUCUUACAGAAUUAUUGAUACGUUACAUAGUUCAGGUGAUGAAAGUCCACAGAAUAGGUCUUCAGUACUGUCUUUGAAACCCGAAUUGAAUGUACCAUCUGCUGGAAGGCCUCAUGUAGAACCGUGUUCAUUGGAUAGCAUUCUAGAAAUUUGUGUGGAUCCAGAUGACAGGGAAGAGCACUCAGCUGAAGCUUUAGGAGAAGAUCCAAUGCAUUUGAAUCUAAGAAGUGAUCCGGUUGCUGGACCACUAAACAACGGAAAUGAACUUCUUGAAAGGGAUGAAGUUCACAAAUUGCACAAGUCAUUCUCUGCUAAGGUGGAAAUGCUUCAUACUCCUUCUCCAUCAGAGAGUGAUCGCUCGUCCAGUGUGAGCUCAAAGGCCCGGUUCAAUAAUAUAAGAAAGAUGUUUGAUCCAUUUAAGAAGUCCAAGUCAUUGCGAAGUCCAAAUUAUGUUGUGGAGCCUGGGGGAGCCAAAACAACUGGGAAGGAAGACAUGACAAAGGGCAGGACUCAUCAAAAAUCUUUGUUGCCUGUCUUUUCAAAUACGGUACAGAAUGCAGGUGGUGAUUCUCUGUGUGUCAACCAAGAUAACCACCAGUCUAGCGUAGCGUCUUCACCGGUUCACCUACAUGGCCGUCUUAAGUUACAAAAUAAACAUGGAAUGCCUUUAUUUGAGUUCUUGUUGAAGGGAUCAGAAGAUGUCUUCGUGGCCAGGACAUGGAAAGCAGACAAUGGUUUUAACUGGGUGUAUACCUUUCAUGCCAUUGGCGGUAGAAAGAAGAGCAAUGCCAGCGGUGUGGGAUCACAUGGUAGCGAUAGAGAUUCUUCAAUGGUGGGACAAAUGCAAGUUUCUUGUUAUCUAUGUUCAGAACUGAAGGAUGGAGCUUUUGACAAUUCCAUGUCGACAGAGUUUGUUUUGUACGAUAUUUCUCAUGCAAGGCAAAUUGCAGCAGAAAAAGAAAACUCUAAUUGUACCCUUGAUGAUGCUAAACAUCCCAAAGGUUCCAAUCAGAGCACAGAGGGUGCAACUUUAAAGUUGGGUGAUGGGUCUUGUCCAACGAAGGUCAAACAUCAACACAAGAGUAGUGAUACCGAUUCUCCAGCCUGGCCAUUUGCAGCUUUGCAUCCAGGUCUUGAAAUUGUAGCCAUUGUUAUGCAAGUUCCAUUUGAAAAGAGAGAGAGCUUGAAAUACAAGAGAGGGGACAAGGUAUGUGAUAAAGUACCUGCAAACCUACUCAAGCUCCCUAUGGUCAAACAGAAGAAGAAGAAUGACCCUGAUAGUCGAAACUCAGGAAACCUGAAGGUGAUAAUUCCAUCUGGAAACCAUGGUUUGCCGAGUACUGAAAGCAAGGGUCCUUCAUCAUUACUAGAUCGAUGGAGAUUUGGUGGUGGUUGUGACUGUGGUGGCUGGGACAUGUCUUGUCCUCUUACUGUGUUAAGCAAUCCCAACAUUCAGUUGGCUGAUAAUCAAUUAUUUGAAGAGAAUCAGCAGCCUUUGGAACUUUUUGUUCAGGUAAACUUCUUCGAUAUUUUAAUAUGUUCUAUGAUCAAAAGCUUGUGAAAAUGAAGUUCUCUAGUUUAGUCUUUGAUUGAAAAGAAUUAUAGAACAACUUGAGUUUCUAGCUCCCAGUAGACUUUGCACUAAUUUCAGUAUGCAUCAUUCUGUUUGUCGGCAUCUGACAUCUCAUAUUACUCUCUUUUGAUUUGUUUGCAGGGAUCAAAGGAGAAACAACCAGCAUUGACCAUGACAAUGGUUGAAGAUGGACAGUAUGCAGUUGAUUUUCAUGCACAGUUAUCAACGUUACAAGCAUUCUCUAUGUGUGUUUCCAUUCUGCAUGGUACAGAAACAUCGGCAGCUGCCACUGGGCUGGAGGAAAACACACAGUUGUCACAGUGCAGUUCAUUGAAAGUGCUUAAAGAGGAAGUGAAGUUCUUAAUUGAAGCAGUCACAGAAGGGGAGAAGAAGAAAGUAGCCAAGAGGGUGAAAAAGAUCCAACCAUGUUAUACACUCGAUCCACCUUUCUCUCCUAUUGCACGAGUAUAGAUUUCGAGUAGCACACUUGAGUUUUUCUCCAAAGACCCACACAGGGAUCAGGGAUGGCCCCAAGGGUAUCAGAAACAGAUGGCUGAGACAAUGCUAGCCGCAACCGGUCUUGGGGGUCAUUUGGUAUCAAAACUAUCAGUACCAUGGACACUACCCAGCUCAGAAAACCGGAAAAAGGCUGCAUCGAAUCACAACAGAAGUUUUGAAGCUGCUUAUUCUUGCCAUUGCCUUUGGUUUAUUGCCAUAGAGGGUUUACAUCAAAUGUGAUGUAUUUUUGGAGGGGGUCUAUGAUAAACUUUUCAACAGAAUACAAUACUGUCCAUAUCGAAACUUGUAGGGAGGAAAAGGAAGUAGUCAUGUUAUAUGAGAAUUGGGAGAUACAGUUCCUUCUCUUUUGCAGUAAGUUUCUUAGUGUAGUUUAUUAGAUAGGAAGGAGGGGGUAGUAGAACCCUGAAAUUGGUGUUACUAUUGAUGUAUAAUAUGGAGAAGCAAGAAGACAAGCACUUGGUCUCCAAAAUGUAUGAGUAAAUUUGAACUGGGCACCUUCUUACUCUACUGCAUUGUUAAUGGAAUAUUGGUUCUUUUUCUCUUUUUUUUGGAAAUGAAAAAAAAAAUAAUGAACCAUUGUUUGCUUGUGAUUCAAGGUUUUUCCUCUGAAUUAUGCCAUAAGAAAAAAAACGCCGUUGCCGGGGAUCGAACCCGGGUCACCCGCGUGACAGGCGGGAAUACUUACCACUAUACUACAACGACCUUGUUGAUAGUAAAUGUCUGUAAUUUCUUUUUGAAGAGUUUGGUUCUUCUCGGCCUUUGAGCUCAGUAGCAUCAUAAAAAUUACAUUUUUAAGAACCUACUUACUGACACUCCCCAAGAAGCUACGAGCUGUAACUUAUGCAUACCCGAACUGCUAAGUUUGUGUAAUCUCCGAAGCAUGUAUAUAGUUAUGGCAGUAAGUCCUUUAGGCUUAAGCAUAGGCAACACAAAACUAAAACACGAACUUCUGCUUCUCAUUUGUAUUCAAUAACUAAAGGUCCAUCAACACCGUCAUGAUACAGAAUGGCACACACUAGCACCUACUUCGACUAUACAAUCACUUUUUCUCUUCUGGAACAAUACAUAUGUUAAAUCCUACUUUUGCUUCGCAUAUUCUUUUGUCACUUACAUAAAAAUACAAAAUUCGUUUCUCAUGAUUGUAGACUGUGCAGUCUUGCUGGUGUUGGCGAUGGUGGCUGGAAUGUUGAGGGUGUUACUGGAUCAUCUUCCAUGUUUCGUUCGUAUUGGAUUCUUUGAGCAUUAGGUUGUUGCCUUGCCAAAGAAAAAGAUUUCUUGAAAAAUUCAUAUGAUGCAAAGAAGAGGGCUCCUUGCGACAUAUACAUAACCAAUCGUGGGGUCAAUCCCCUGACAAUCACAACAAGAAUCACGGUCAUACAUCAACAUAUCAGGCAUGCAGCAGCUCAGUGCAACUACAAUUCCCUUACAACGGUUUCAGAGGACAACGAGAUGAAAGUGACUCAUGGAAUUGUUACAAGAGAAAAACAUAAUGAUGGGCAGAAAGGACCAAUUGAUACCUGUAUAGGCCUUUUAGACCUUCUUUAUUUUCUAUUUCCUGAAGGGCGUGAAUCACACUGUUAUACUGGCUCACAGACCCUGGAAUCUGCAUAAACACCCCUUUAUAAGAAGCGUGUUGGCAAUGGGACAUUAAUCUUAAUUGGCAUUUGUGCUGCAAUUUUCUUAGUGAAGUUCUGGCAUACUGCCCAAAGGGCCAUUAUACACUAUACUUCCAAUCUCCAAGAGACGUAUUUCAUAAACAAGUAUAGACUAUAGACAAGGAAAGCCUCAUUAAUCAAUGGCUGGGACAUAUUUCUGACCAUGGAUUACCCAGACUGUUAUUGUUCAACAUAGGACAAUGAAAUAUACUGUAAUUGUACUGAAUCAAGUGAGAAAAGGCUCUCUAUAGAAAUAUGCAUAACAUUACAAACCUGCGUCUGCAAUCUCGUUUUCACAACAUCAAAAGGAGUUGUGAAUAAUGCAGCAGUAGAUCCAGCCAGUCCUCCACAAACUAGCUGCACGGACGGCAAAAUCAUAUUUAGUUAAUCCGGAAUGGAAAAGAGAACAGAAAUAACUUGCUCAGAGCCAGUUCCAAAGAAGGUAGAUAAUAUCUAAAUGUAAGAGGAUUGGAUAGAGGGGAUUUAACUGUUUGUAAUGUGCUGGGGUGAUUUCUAGAUUCUUCAGAAGAUGACAUCAAUUUCUUCAACCUUUCAUAUGUGUAGAACUGCAAAUAAAACAUAAAUCUUAGAUAUGACGUGCCGAAGUACAAAGGAUAUGGAAGUAAAAAACCAAUACUCAUCCAUUAUAAUAACCAUGUGGAAUCAUUAAACAUUCAAAAUAGAAAGUCAUGGCACAUUUUUCUGACCCACAUUCUCUCCCUCUCUUCCUAGUGUCCCUGUUGGUCCAAUUCCGUUCUCAGUAUGUAGAAAUAACUAACCUUAACAAUUGAGUGUGGAACAUUCCUGCAGAGUACAGCUCCCCAUCCAGCAUAUAAUGAAGUGAAACCGCCCUUCUGAAUGAUGCCAACCAAAGCAUUCCUGAAGCAAAUGAAAGGUUAAAUAGACUCUGAGCAGAACAGAACUUCUAUGUAGGGGAAUGCCAGAACUAGAAUGAUAGUUACAACAAGGCUUCUUGCAUGAUAUUCCAACAAUAUAUUAUUAGCAAUAAACCUCAUACUUCAAUAUAUAAAUAAGGUCCAGAAGAACCCAGCAAUACUACAUGAGUAGUGGUAUUGGAAGACAAUACCAAGAUCUUAAGGAUAUACCAGCAGUUGUGAUACUUUGAACCAACUUGCAUCUGCUGCUUUAUACGUUCACUCGGAGUAAAGAUAAAGGAAGUGGCAAUGCUUGCACAACCGCCUGCCACACAAUGGGCAACAGAAUAAUACUCCUGCACAAAAAGUAAUGUGUGAGACACAGAAAGCCUGAAAGCAUCGGCUCACACAAAAACCAAUGAUGACAACUGUUACAUUUCUAAAAUAUUAUUCACCUUCCUUCCUGGACUCCACAUGAGUAUCAAAAUUGAAAUAAAAAGAGCAAUACGGAAAUGGGAAGAUAGUAGCAAUAUCAAUUGGGGAGAUACAGAAACUUAGUGACAAUGCUUGAGGCGAAAAGAGAGAGAGAGAGAGAUAGUAAAGAGAGUUACAGAGAUAAAGAAGUACCUUCGGAAAUAAAGGAAGCAAAGAUCCUUUAACUGAUUCAUAUGUGAAAGUGUAAAUGGAAGAAAUUGGAGCUGAAGAUGCAACGUUGGUAGCAAUACCACGAUAGAGUCCAGUUAAGCCUGAAAUCAAUAUCACCAUCAGUUUUUCUGAAGUACAACAGGAUAAAGCCUUUAAGAGUUUCAAAGAUAGAUAAGUUCUAACAGCAUAUAUUUUCUUCAAUUCCUAUAUAUCAGCCCACCUCUAUCAGACACAAUUGAUUUUCCAAUGAACCAUAUAGAUUUUUGCUCUGCCCGGCAAGAUUGAAUUACUGUCUUGAUUGUAUCAACGGGAUGAAGACAAAUGCUAACAAAAACUCCGGACAAUGCACCUGCAAAGGCAUGCUCUUGUUUAGCAAGAGUAUGAAGCUUAUCGUGUGCUAAUGCACAGGGCUGUGCCUUGCAUCCAUCCGUUAUAACGAAGUUUUCUGGCUGUUUCUUUUUGUUGUCAACUAGGUCAUGAUCAUCUAUCUUAUGAAGACAUUCUUCCAAUCCAUUACCACAGGAAGUUGACGAGUCUAUAUGAUAAUCUGCAAGAAGACUAGAACAUGGGGCCCUUGAAAUAAUGUCAUCUGCCUCACCAGCUACAAGAAAAUAGUCUGAACACAAAGAUGCUCUUGUACUAAUCUCUGACUUUUCAUCAUCAUCCUUAGAUAAGUUACUAGAUUUGACUGGAGCAGGGUUAGACACAGCAUUUCUGGCCAAGUCAUCUACAAGUCUACUUGUUUCUCCUGUAAUAGAGCCUCCUGCAACAGCGUUAGUAUCUACUGGACUGCAACAUUGGUCAGUUCUGUUCUCACUCUCCGAAACUUUGACCGGGCGGUUUGCCCCAGAAGAAAUCACAUCAUUCAUCCAUCCAUACAUGCUUCCCAAUUGGUAUGAGACUUCGAAACUUGCAGUUCCAUUUCCUUUCGAAGAAUCUUUAGGCACAUCAGUACCACCAUACAAUAACCUCCAAAAUGAAGCCUGAUAGAAACUUUUACUGCAAUGGCCAAAUACUGACAUAUUUUGGCUAACCUGCUUUAAAUCUAUACGUGGUUGUGAUAUCGUUGGAAUCUUAUCAGAAUCCCUUAAGUUAAAAGUCAAAUUACCACUAUCCUCUGAAAGAGCUUCCCCAUCCAGACCGGACAAGAUAAUCUGUUUCCGACGACUACUUUGAAUCUCCUCUGAAUUUACCUUGGGUUGAAAUAAUCCAAGAGGACGGCUUGCAUAAUCCCAUAUCUGGCCAACUGCUGAGAUGAGCUCAGUAGUGCUCAAUAUCUCAGGCGACUUGUUCUGCAAUUUUAUACUCCCUUGAUUAUUACUUUUGCGAGAAACUGUGUGGGGAGAGGAUGCCAGACCAAUUUUAUACCCCCUGUAUUUGAUCGAAGCUUGAUCAUUCUCAUGUGGCUUAUUGCACCUAGCCAUUUUCUCAAGCCCCCUUGAGAAUAUAGUGUAUCUUGCAAUAGAAGUAACUGCAAAAUGGAAUUAGCAAAUGGCAUCAUUGGACAAAGCUAAGAAUGACAGAACAAACAGUAAUCUCAUUACAACCCUCCCUCCCCCAACCGCAACAUUACUUAGCAUUGGUUUUCUCCGCCCCAACUUCUACUCUCAAUUCACAAUGCAAUCAAUACCAUGAAUCAUUCAACAAUUUCAGCAACAACAACAACAACAACUCAGAAAAAAGUUCAGUGCUUUAUACACAAUCGUUCGUUAACGGUCAAUUUCUUCCCUUUCUUAUUUCAAGCAGAUUACGCAAAAGCCACCCGGCUCGAGCUUCUCCGAUGAAACCAGCACAGCAACUUACAGAUCUGAAUAAACCAGUACAUGAACCCAGAAUGAGACAUCAUCAAAUUCCCAAUCAGCACCAUCAAACACUUAAUCUAUCAAAACCCAUAAGCUAACCAACACUCUUUGCACCAAUCUACACCCACAUAGAACACAAUUGAAUGCUCUAACAUGUAAUACAAUUCAAACUAUCCAUUCAAUUCCAUAAGCAUUUCAAUCAAACUACCCACUAUAGAGAUUCAAUUCAACAUACUAUCCAGCCAAAUUUUAACUACAUUUCAAUCAAAUUAACAGCUUUAAUCACCAGAAUCAAUCAAUUAUAACAACAAAAAUCGAAGCUUUGAAGAAAUCAGAAUUGAAGUAAACGACUCAGAAUAGGUGAGAAUAGAAGAACCUUGAUGAAGAAGAGAGUGGGUGCUUUCCAGCUGAAAGCAGAGUCUGCGUCGCCGUGUGGUUCAUUUGCCGGCGAAAAAUUGAAGGUGAAAAAUUAGGGUUUAAAGUGUGUGGGGUUUAUGGAUUUGCAGAAUAAAUUCAAAUAGGGCAGCUUUAUAUGUAAUCGUGUGCGCACGUUACCAAAUUAUUCUUAUUCGUUUUGCUAAUAUACGCCAGGGUGUGAGGAUAACGGGAAAUUGAAGGAUCUACCACGUGUCUGUCACGAUUUAUCUGUAUAAUUUUCUGGAUCUUGAUCAGGCGGCUCAGUGUCACGUGAUACGACUGUUCUAUGUUACUUUUUGUUAUUUAUUUCAAAACAUAUUCUACACGCUUAUUACGAUCAGAGUUUUAGACUCAAUGUUCCCACGUAUUGAGCAGUUUCAUCAAUUAAGGUAUAAGGACAUGCAGUUGCAUAAGUCUUUUAUCAAAAAUAAUUUCAUUCAUCAUCGUUACCAAAUACAUUUUUUAGGAAUCGGAUUUUUUCCUUCUCAAUAAAAAUACAAAAAUGAUAUUUUUUUCUAACAAAUUCAUUUCGUGAAUCAAACGAGUGUUUAUUCUGGUGAGACCUUAAUUUAUUCUCACACAGUAUCAUCAAGCCACAUUGACGGGAGCGGGACUAGGAGCAGGAGGUUUGAUGUUGCAGAUCAUGUUUUCGCAAUGAUUCAGGCAAUUUCCAAUCUUUGACUUACCUGCCAUGAAAAAACACAGUAAAUUAAGCAUGUGUAUUCUAUACAUACGUAUUUGCAUACAUACAUAUAAUAGAAUUAAGAAUGGCAAAUAGGAAGGAGAUGUGUUGUAUGAUGUACCAUUUCCAUGUUUCAGACACUGAUCAUAAGUGCAGCCAAGUUUGCAGUAGUACUGGUGAUCAAGAUCCUGACGUGCUAGAGCUGCACCUGGGCAGCCAGCUAUACAUCUAAAGAAACAUGCCAUGGUUCCUCCUCUACAUUUAUCAUAACAGGCUUGGAUGCAAUGGGAUUCCUCCAGCAUACCUGCAUUUACAUUUCCGAUGAAAAGAAUCACCAUCAUUGCAAUUACAGAGACAAACUUCAUAGACUCCAUUGAUAUUUCUCUCUGAAUUUUCUUGAAGAAACUCAGGAGGGUUGUAUAUCUGGAUGAAACACUUUCACCUGAAUAAACCAAGGACCCAUGAACGCCCUUUAAUACUACUUGUCCUCCACCAUAAAAGGUAGCUUCAUAAAAUAAAAUCAUAUAAAAGAUUUAUAACAUAAUUGGAGAAAAUCGAGCAAGCUAGAACCAUGUAUCCGAUUAAUAAUUUGGUAAGAAGUCAUUCAAAACUUACCUUAUUAUACCUUUAUAAAGGACAUAACGUAUUUGGUUCGCUUCAUUGAUUAUGAAUUAGCUGUAUAUAUUGUGCAAUUCCUAUAUAUAUUUAUGAACAGAAUGCCAUUAGCUAUUAAUUAGUGGCAGAACAAAACGUUACAGAUGAACAGAAGCAUGCAUGUCACUGCUGGAAAAAGAUGAGAAAAACAGAAACACAGCUAGAAAUUGAAGACGACCCAUUACUAUUUACUAAAAUGGGUUUUGUAGUACAAAUAUCAGAGGAAGAGUGUCCUGCGGUGUCCGGCCGAUUCUGGGUCGCACCGUGCCGGCCAUUUCGCCGGAGAAAGAUGAGCCGAGGGUCAGAAGACCCCGAUGACGAUGAGAGAAGAGUUCGAGUUUUUUCAAUUUUCUAAGGUGAACCCCAGCCUGCCUAAGGCCCACCACACCAGGUUCCGCCUAGCCCGCAUAGGCCCACUUCCCGUGUGUUUCACCUAUGUGAAUAUGGGCCAGGUUAGACCCACUUCCCUUGUUCUGAAAUCCAAUAUGGAAAUCUGGAGCCAGUUCUGGCAGCAAGUGCAUGCAGUUGCUCUUAAACUUGACCACUUUCUUUUCGUCAAUCAUGCAAUGCUUAUUGCUCUUUUUGAAAGCCUAUUUUUUUAGCUAAAUUAGGAGUGAGACCCUCUUACGCUAAAUGAUACAAAAGAGAAUACUUCAUUCUUUCAUCAAAUUAUGUAGAUCGAUGCAACCAACUUGCAGACAUUUUUUUAUGUUUUAUGGUGUUGGUUGAAGUGUUAACACAACGGUCACGUGUUACACCAUUAUCUACUAUUUAUGUUGCUUAUACUUCUACGGGCUCACUACCCAUUCUUUAAAGAAGUUUAUCGGGAUAUAAGUUGAAGUGUCAUGUACCUCAUGUUCACAUGCAAUACGGUCUCACCGAGGCUACUACCAAACAACUUUAGCUUGUCACUCGAACAUUAUUGAUGUGCACCAAUCUUUCUAUUGCGUCUUAGGGAUAUGCAAUAUUUGAAUGCAUCUUUACUAUUUAUCUACUACCCACCAUCAUUGAAUAUUUUUGUAUUACAACUCGUGACUGUGUACCAGUAUUGACACAAAAUUGCAAUCUUUGAGCUCAAACAGGAUUGAAAUGGAUCUCUAAUCUUUGAGCUCAGCUAGAUGUUAUUUCUAGGUGCCAAAUCGCAAUGUCACUGUGCAUAAUGAUGGGUCAUUUGAGAUGAAUAAGUUUACGUUGGAUAUGAAACUCCACCUAUAAUCCACUUAUGUAGAAACCUUAUCAGACGAUCUCAUUCACCGCUAAAUUACGGAUUGUUACUUUGAUGAGACAAUAUUCCCGCCAUUAGGGGGAGAUAAGAACACAAGUGUUCAAGUCAAAAGACGUGAAUUGUCGUGGUUUGUCCCCACUAAGUUUCAUCUUGAUCCCAAAUGCUUAAAGUGUUAAAGUGACUAGAUCGAUCACAUGUUGCAAAUAUGUCUGCAAUGAUUGAUGUCAUAUCAAGAGGACAUGGCAUGACCAAAAGGAGUUGGUCUUGACACCAUCACCAUGGAUGGUGAUAUGGUGACACCAUAUAGUGGCAAAAUUGGUGUCACAAGGCUGUGUGGCUCCCCAAAAUGAGGGAGACCCUUCGGUUCGAUACUUUCUCGCGUGCACGUGGAAAGCGAGCUUAGCACAACCUGAUCCAUUGAUCAGUGAUACUCAAAUGCGUCUCAUAAAGUCUGAAUUGUGAUUAUCGUUGGGGACGCCUUAAUGUCAAAUCCAAUCCAUAUGGAGAUCUCUACAAGUAUUACACUAGUGUACAUGAGGACAUGAGAUAAUGAGUCUACUAUCGAACCACCAUUCGUUGAUGGAUAUCAACUUAGUUGAUUGGCCUAAUGGAAAGAUGUGAUCCAACAUUAACAAAGAGAUAGGUCCUUGGGCAGGUGAUGCCGACACCGCAAGCUAAACUCUAUCAAAUAUGUCUUUGUUAGAUAGUGUAGUGAGAACAAGAGUUUAGAAUCACCUUAUGGCGCAAAGUCUCUCACUAACACGCACUGUGAUCAACUAUGAUGAGAUAUGCUCUCGUAAUGGAUGUCAUUGAACUCCACUACUUUGUCAAUUUGGUAGUUUCCGAAUAACUGAACAUGCAGCGUAUGAAUGUGGUCAUAAUAACAUCUCUAUGGGAUCAGAGAUAUACAUAAAAGUCUUAAACGGACUUCAUUCAUUCGAAUCAGGUGGCUCCAGACCACAGGAGUACGCGUUUGCUAAAGGUAUUGAAACGCACAUGGACUCUACUUGAUUUAGAAGGGAUAUAAUGAAUUACGUCUUUGCGUGUUCAUUCCGGAUUUACAUGUACUCUUGAUGGAUCAAGGGAUGCCAAUAUGUAUCAACAUCCGAAGUUAAUAAUGAAAAAGAUCUUGGGAAGACACGGUCUCGAUAAGGCACUCGAUGACUGUAUUGAUGACGAUUUUUCAUCAAUCGGCUUAGGCGCUCUAUAACUAGUGAGGCCUACAUAUACCCCAUGAUUAGUUAAAGUCUUUACUCUAAAGAGAGAUAUGUUGUUUUGUCUAAAAAAAGAUGACAAAUAUGUGUUAAGAGAUGAAGUUCUCAUCUAAGUACAAUAAGAUGUAUCAAUGUACUCAACAUAAUACGAAAGACUUGACAUCUCAUUCGUAAUGAAAAGUUGUAAAGCUAAGCGUAGCUAUACACCUACGCAACGCCAAUAUAAUGGCAGUAACUCCUUUUUCAAUACUUAAUGGUAUGAAAGGUUGAGGUUUAUUUUAUCCCUACAUAAGAAAGACACAUCAAAAGCGAAAUCAGAAUCUGUCAAGUUUCAUAGGUUAAUUUUCAUAAGACCUACAUGAAAUCUCACUUAUUGGAAAAUGGUGAAUUUGGUACUAUUAGAAAGGUCUAUGUGUCUACUUUCCAAGAACAUGAACCAUUUGAUCAUACCUAUCAUAUUGAGUAGGACGGAUCUGUCCGAGAAUCUGAUUUUGCCAAAACAGUCAACUUUGACCGGACUUUGUGAACAGAUCCUGAUGAAAAAGAAUGUGUGUAAUAUACGGUUGGAAAGAUAAAUGAGUCUAGUUUCCAAAACUAUUUAUGCUUCGUUCAUAUGUAUUUCCUAGAGGAAGUUAUGGCUGUUUUAGUAACUAAAGGUCAUGCUGCGUGGAAAUCUGAUUUCCUGCACGAACUUAUGUUUUAAGUUCACAGUUUUGAGUUCACAAGCGGCAUUCUCCUCAAGAUCUAAGUGUAAAAGAUCAUGUUUGAGGACAAUACAACAUGAUCUAGUUAAUCAUUGCCCAAUGCCACAAUUGAAGACAUGUUAAAGAGCAUUAACAUGCUAAGUUAUCGAAACUUCCGUGAUUAGUAAAAAUCAUGAAGAGCCCUAUGAUUGAUGUACAGAUCAGGGGGAGGUGUAAACUUCAGGGGGAGUCUAGCACAUGCAUGUCACUAUUAAAUGUGAAUGGUGCGUUGUACUCUUUUUCUCCUAUGAUAAAUGUUUAGUUUUUCUCCCAUAUGGUUUUUGUUCCUUGACGAGGUUUUUAACGAGGCGACAUAUAAUCACCACCGGCAUACCGGUGCACGGCAUAAGGGGGAGUGUUUUAGAAUAUUUCAUAUGUGUGUCUUGGUCUUAUGUCAUCAGAAUAUGUAGUUAGAAUAGACUAUGUAUUUAUUAUCAUUACCAUAUUGGUACUUUAUCGUUCUUUAUAUAAAGGGUUCCUAUCAAUGAAUAAGAUGAUGAUUCUCUAUUCUCUUACUAUCUCUCUUUGUCUGUACUCUUUAUUCUUAAUCACUUUUAUAUUAUUAUCAAUAAAACAAACAAAACAUGCCAAUACAAAUGGGAACUGCACCUCUUAUUUACUUAUUACAUAAAAACCUCUGUCACGGAAUAAAUCAAAUUAAUCCAUGUACUGAUGAAGGAUAAAGUGUAGAGACAAAGAGAUAGCAAGAGAAUUAUCAUCUUAUUCAUUGAUAGGAGCCCUUUAUAUAGGGAAUUACACAAUACCAAUAUGGUAAAGAUAUGAAUACAUAGAUCUAGUCUAACUACAUAUCCUAUUGGCAUAAGGCCAAGACACACAUAGAGAAUAUCCUAGAACACUCCCCAUUGUGCCGCGCGCUGAUAUGCCGAUGGUGCUGAUCUGUUGCCUCGUCAAAAACCUCGUCAAGUUACAAAAACCCUGUGGGAGAAAAACUGAACCUUGAUCGUAGGAGAAAAAGAGUACAACGCACCCUUCACAUUUGAUAGUGACAUGUAUGUAUGUGCUAGACUCCCCCUGAAGUUCGCACCUCCUCCUGAUCUUUACAUCAAUCAUAGGGCUCUUCCUGAUUCUUACUAAUCACGGAAGUUUCAACAACUUAGCAUGUCAAUGCUNNNNNNNNNNNNNNNNNNNNNNNNNNNNNNNNNNNNNNNNNNNNNNNNNNNNNNNNNNNNNNNNNNNNNNNNNNNNNNNNNNNNNNNNNNNNNNNNNNNNNNNNNNNNNNNNNNNNNNNNNNNNNNNNNNNNNNNNNNNNNNNNNNNNNNNNNNNNNNNNNNNNNNNNNNNNNNNNNNNNNNNNNNNNNNNNNNNNNNNNNNNNNNNNNNNNNNNNNNNNNNNNNNNNNNNNNNNNNNNNNNNNNNNNNNNNNNNNNNNNNNNNNNNNNNNNNNNNNNNNNNNNNNNNNNNNNNNNNNNNNNNNNNNNNNNNNNNNNNNNNNNNNNNNNNNNNNNNNNNNNNNNNNNNNNNNNNNNNNNNNNNNNNNNNNNNNNNNNNNNNNNNNNNNNNNNNNNNNNNNNNNNNNNNNNNNNNNNNNNNNNNNNNNNNNNNNNNNNNNNNNNNNNNNNNNNNNNNNNNNNNNNNNNNNNNNNNNNNNNNNNNNNNNNNNNNNNNNNNNNNNNNNNNNNNNNNNNNNNNNNNNNNNNNNNNNNNNNNNNNNNNNNNNNNNNNNNNNNNNNNNNNNNNNNNNNNNNNNNNNNNNNNNNNNNNNNNNNNNNNNNNNNNNNNNNNNNNNNNNNNNNNNNNNNNNNNNNNNNNNNNNNNNNNNNNNNNNNNNNNNNNNNNNNNNNNNNNNNNNNNNNNNNNNNNNNNNNNNNNNNNNNNNNNNNNNNNNNNNNNNNNNNNNNNNNNNNNNNNNNNNNNNNNNNNNNNNNNNNNNNNNNNNNNNNNNNNNNNNNNNNNNNNNNNNNNNNNNNNNNNNNNNNNNNNNNNNNNNNNNNNNNNNNNNNNNNNNNNNNNNNNNNNNNNNNNNNNNNNNNNNNNNNNNNNNNNNNNNNNNNNNNNNNNNNNNNNNNNNNNNNNNNNNNNNNNNNNNNNNNNNNNNNNNNNNNNNNNNNNNNNNNNNNNNNNNNNNNNNNNNNNNNNNNNNNNNNNNNNNNNNNNNNNNNNNNNNNNNNNNNNNNNNNNNNNNNNNNNNNNNNNNNNNNNNNNNNNNNNNNNNNNNNNNNNNNNNNNNNNNNNNNNNNNNNNNNNNNNNNNNNNNNNNNNNNNNNNNNNNNGUCGGCAUCACCUGCCCAAGGACCUAUCUCUUUGUUAAUGCUGGAUCGCAUCUUCCAUUAGGCCAAUCAACUAAGUUGAUAUCCAUCAACGAAGGGUGGUUCGAUAGUAGACUUAUUAUCUCACGUCCUCAUGUACACUAGUGUAAUACUUGUAGAGAUCUCUAUAUGGAUUGGAUUUGACAUUGAGGCGUCCCCCAACGAUAAUCACAAUUCAGACUUCAUGAGACGGAUUUGAGUAUCACUGAUCAAUGGAUCAGGUUGUGCCAAGCUCGCUUUCUUUCUAGUGCAAGACAAUAUCUAACCGAAGGGCCUCCCUCCUUUUAGGGAGCCGCACUGCCUUGUGACACUAAUUUUUGCCACUAUAUGGCGUCACCAUAUCACCAUCCAUAGUGAUGGAGUCAAGACCAACACUUUUUGGUCGCGCCAUGUCCUUUUGUAGGACAUCAAUCCUUACAGACAUAUUUGCAGCAUGUGAUCUCGUCACUUUAACACUAUAAGCAUUUGAGAUCAAGAUGAGACUUAGUGGGGACAAACCACGACAAUUCACGUCGUUCCACUUGAACACUUGUGUUCUUAUCUCCCCCUAACGGCGGGAAUAUUGUCUCAUCAAAGUGACAAUCCGCAAUUUAGCGGUGAAUGAGAUCGCCUGACAAGGUUCCUACAUAUGCGGAUUAUAGGUGGAGGUUCAUAUCUAACCUAAACUUAUUCAUCUCAAAUGACCCAUCAUUGUACGCAGUGGCAAUGCGAUUUGGCACCUAGAAAUAACAUCUAGUCGAGCUCAAGGAUUGGAGAUUCGUUUCAAUCCUGCCGAGCUCAAGGAUUGCAAUUUCGUGUCAAUCCUGGUACACAGUCACGAGCUGUAGUACAACAAAAUUCAAUGAUGGUGGGUCGUAGAUGAAUAGUAAAGCUGNNNNNNNNNNNNNNNNNNNNNNNNNNNNNNNNNNNNNNNNNNNNNNNNNNNNNNNNNNNNNNNNNNNNNNNNNNNNNNNNNNNNNNNNNNNNNNNNNNNNNNNNNNNNNNNNNNNNNNNNNNNNNNNNNNNNNNNNNNNNNNNNNNNNNNNNNNNNNNNNNNNNNNNNNNNNNNNNNNNNNNNNNNNNNNNNNNNNNNNNNNNNNNNNNNNNNNNNNNNNNNNNNNNNNNNNNNNNNNNNNNNNNNNNNNNNNNNNNNNNNNNNNNNNNNNNNNNNNNNNNNNNNNNNNNNNNNNNNAAGGAUUGAAAGAAGCUACGAAAAGCUGCAAUCCCGAGAGUGCAUAAAAAUUUCCGCGCAGAAUAACUUUUGCACACUAAAACAGCCAUAACUUCUUCGUUAAAAUAGAUAUGGACGAACCAUGAAAAGUUCUGAAAACUAGACUCAUAGAGCUUUCUAAUGAUAUAAAGUUCACUGUCUGGUUCGUCCGGAGAUGUUCACAAAGCUCAAACGAAGUUGACUGUCCAGAAGGGACAGAUUGCUGUUUUUCGCAGAUUUGACAUGUGCGAAGCUGUGAAGCUUGCAGGUGGCGUGUAGACUUUUGCCUUAGCCAAAAGUGACGUGUGUAUGAUCAAAACCAAGUCCUUUUGAUCGUUCUAAGGUCGUAAACUUCAUGACUAGUUAGCGAAAGCUCCCUAACAUGAACAUAAACUAACUCAGAGGACCUAGAGGAUCCGAUCAUGUUGAUAAUUUUCCAGCUUUGAUAAGUCUUCAACGUCUUUUGCAAGACGGCAAUUGGUUUAAUAGCGUAGGCGGAUCCAAAAUCAAAAGCUUUCGGUAACUCCAAGUCAGUAUGACCAGGCAUGUCCGUGGAGGGUCGGUAGUGCGAGGCACACUUAAAACCACUAUCUCCUUAAUUUCGGACAAUUCUAAGACAUCACACUGAGCUUGGAUGAGCCUAGUUGAACAAUUGAUGAUGAAAAAUCCGCUAUAGGGUAGAAGACUUAACCGGAAACACGUGGGCGAUCCUCCUUGAGGAUGCAGUGCCAUGAGUCACAUUCAAAAGAAGGGACCAAAAUCGGCACAAUAUGCCAUGUUUCUAAAGACGAUGUAAGUGUUCAUCUUGAUUGUAAAUCAAUAUGAACCAUAAGAGGAGAAUAUUUUCACUUCGAAAAAAUUCUCAAGGCAUUCAUUAUUGCUAAUGUGAGUACAUCGAGGUCUCAAAUAGACAAACGACGUCAAUACAACGCCUUAGUACAUAAAGCUUGGAACGAAAAUCAAUGUCUAGCCGAUGACGUCAAAGUCAUGGGUAGCUAGAGCAGGAUCCGAAUCUUUGAAAUUCGCGAUCAUGAGGAUGAUGUUCUUGUCCUCAUAUUGAUUUUCCGUACCUUUUUGUAUUCAUUCACAAUUUGAAGGAGCUUGACAAUCUUGAACCAGUGAUCCGAAGAUCCACAACGGUUGCAUUAAUGUCAUGAGCUGACGUGAGUAGUUUUGACAAAAUGGUGUCUAGACCGGGAGUGUCGCUAUUAGAGCCGGCAACACCUCCCCCUCUUUUCUAGACAUCGACACGACGUUUUCUACCGUUGCCAUGACCCAUAUUGUUGUCCCCACAUUAGGGGAUAAUCCCAAAUAAGUUUAUCACAUUAGCGUAUAUACAAUUCCUGUUUGUAUGAUCAAAAUCAAGUCUCGUUGGUAAUUCCACACAACUUGGAGGACCUAGAGAACUUGAUGAUGAUCGAAUCCGCUAAAGAUUAUGGAUCAUGAUGCCACAAAAGAUCAUCGACAAUAUGUAGUCAAUUAAGGUGGUAAGGAAUCCACUUGACUAAUAACUCAACAAGUAGAGUUAUAUGAACGUUUCGAGAAACGCUCCAUGAGUGCAUUCCACAAUAUUUUGUGGUCAUUACUUUUUGCACAGAUUGCCAUUGAAGGCUUUUGUCGAUGUGACGCGUCAAAGACUUUGAGCGCAUGAGAUGUGAAAUCUCGGCAUCUAGGCUUGUUAGCCUGGGAGUCAAAACAUGUGGUUUAAUCCUUUCCAAUGAAAGGUUCCACAGAUACCAAGCGAAGAUCCGCCUUAGGCAUCUAGUACGUCAAAACUCAAAGGAGCAGAAUGUUACAUUGCUUUUGCAUACAAAACCAAGCUGUUAUGAGACUCGAUAGAGGUCACAAACGAUGCUUUUAAUGGUUUGUCCUUCGGAUUGAUCAUACACAAUCCGGAAAAGCCGCGAAUUGAUCAAACACAAUUCGGAAAAAGGCCUCGGAUUGAUCAAACACAAUCCGGUGAAAGGUCGGGGUUGAUCAAACACAACCCGAACAAAGAAACAAGAGUGAUCAAACACACUCUUGACCCUCGAAUAAAAUUCCGGGAUUUGGGUACCUGCACGCACAAAAUCCCAAGCAUAGAAUGGAGAUGGAGAAGGGAGAAAAGGAUUUUAUCCUCCCCGAGUUAUUGAACUUGGAAAAGUUUAAGGUUUCAAAAAACAUACAUUUCUAGAGGCUGCCGAGAGGAGAAAUAACGUUUCGCCUACUUAUACUUCGAAUUUGGGGCUGAAAAUUUGAUAGGAGGAGCAGCUCUGGAUGGGGAAGCUGAUGUCAAAAUUUCAGGUUGAUCGGAGCAAGGGAAGGUGGUGAACUGGUGGUCGGUAGCGGCGGCGGUCUGGAAUCUUCCGGCGGCCGGUUCGGAGACUUUCCGGCCGGUUCUCUGGGUGAUACCGGCGUCGUUGGAUCCGGGACGGAGAGAGCUUUCUGGGGAUAUAAAAUUCCGGUGGAGGACAGUCGGAAUUUUGGUCGGAAAUCGGGAAAAACAAGGCUGCCCGAUUUUAGGGUUUUGGUUUUUAGGGUUUAGAAAAAAUAUGGUUGGCUCUAGGGUUAGAACAAAGUGCAUGAUAACGUGAUGAAGGAUAAAGUGUAGAGACAAAGAGAUAGCAAGAGAAUCAUCAUCUUAUUCAUUGAUAGGAGCCCUUUAUAUAGGGAAUUACACAAUACCAAUAUGGUAAGGAUAUGAAUACAUAGAUCUAGUCUAACUACAUGUCCUAUUGGCAUAAAGCCAAGGCACACAUAGAGAAUAUCCUAGAACAUGUACUUAUUUCUAGAGUUGAUGCAGCUAGUAUGUCUGUGGAAGCAAGUACUUAAUCCCUUAUGUGAGACUCAUGGCCAUAGAAGUACUGCACUUUUCGACCAUUCAGAGCUUGUAAUGGUCUUGCAUUCGUUUCUGCGGACUGCAUUCAAAUGACAAUAUGAAGUAAACAGAAAUACUGAGAAGAAAAAUUAAAGAACAGAAAAUGAAGGAAAAAGAAAUGAUCAAAUCGCUAUAACUUAACAAAGUUAGGCUACUUACGUCAUCCACGGCUUCUCGAAGCAACUCCACUUGCUCUCUUGAUACAGUAGUUAACUGAUGAUCACAACACCAGAUAAUACUAAGAUUUUGCUCCGGAGUUAAUUAACAAGAUUUUACAAAUCGAUGAUGAAGAUGUUAGUACCUCUUUGUCUACGAUCCAAGUUACUCCUUCAGUGCAAGGAGGUACAGUGAGUGAGCCUUUGUACUUGUAAAAAUUUGCGCUACCCUUCCUCACAUUUCUUGGAUCAACCACCCCUAUGUGUCUCUCUUCCUUUACAUUAAUCAAGCUCUUGAUAUCUUUGCUUACCUGAAAGUUAAUUAAACAACAAUAGAAGAGACUGAAGAUCUUUAAAAACAACCACAUCAUUUUGAGGUCAACAAGACGAACUAAGUGAGCUUAGCGCAGUACAUAACACCAAGAUAUUGGGGCUUUUACCUCGGAGAGAAACUUGUCAGGCUUGCCAAUUUUGUAGAGGUAUGCUAACACAGCUAUGUUGUUUUCGACAUUUGCAUCAGGAAUGAGGUGAACCAUAUGAAGCUCCAGGUCAAAUCUUUUACCGUUAAUUGUAUGCUCAGAUGGUGAGUGCCAGUGGCCUUGAAUUAGCCAGUAAUCUGUGCCAUUAAUCUCCACGGAUCCAGCAUCACCUAGCUUCCACUGGAUCUGUUUCACUCGUAAGUUAAUACAAGAUAGAAGUGGCUUAGUUCACAGUCACGUAAAAAAAAAAAAUUAAGCAAUUGAAAUGUGAAGACACUGUUUCACUCGUAUAGUAAGAUAACGAGACACAAUGCCCGCGCUUUGCUGCGGGUGAACCGACCUAAAUUCAAGGAAACAGGAGGACAUAAUGGUAAUUUUGCAGGGUUUCAGACUGCAUGGCAGUGUUGUAAAUAAUCAAAAACUGAGAUGACAGAAUCAUAAAUCGCUGACCACACAGACUAAUGACAGUUCCGUAAAUAAAAUAAAAACAGGGAUAAAACCAUAAUUUAGGCGGUGAGGACAGAAACGUCAUUUAAUCAUCCCAGCUAGGUACUGCUACAGUAAUUGAUGUUUUCCCAACUCUCAAAUAGGAUAUUGUAAAUGACUUCAGUGUGCCAAUUCUUCCUUACCGAAAUGUCAUGGCCCCUAUUCCUGAUUGUUGCAUUUGAAGGCUUGUACUUGAGCUUCACCUCUCCUUUGUUGGGGCGUACUUGCACGAUCUCACUACGCAAAUCUAUUGGAGAUUGCAUUGUCCCAUUUUUACAUGCUGCCCAGUCUUCCCUAAGAUCUCCCCAAUGCUCUGGUCCUUUCCCACUAUCUUUCAGAUAAUCAAAUUCCGUUUCGUCCUCUGCAAGAACAAUUCUUAAUUAACAUCAGUAAUCAUAAGUGAAAAGCAAACAAUAUCAACGUUAAGAAAUACUAAGCUAGCUGUUAGUGACUCUUUUGAAUAUUACCAACUUCUUGAGCUGUAAUAGGUGUUGGGUGCAAAAUUUGAAGAAGCAGCAGCAGCAGAAACAAAGAAGUGGAUAUGGACUUGCUAUGAUUCAUCAUCAUUAUCAGCAAAAAGUGCGACUUUGUUUUUGCAACAUAUUCGUAACGUGCCAAGAGCUUAUAUAUAUAGGUAAUAUCCAUGAUGUUGAUUGACUUGAUCAAAUUCGUACAAAGAUAACGAAGUUGAUAUUCAACUUAUGUUGCACGGACACUCCACCUAAGGUGGACGUCGACACGGUGCCGGACACGGCAAAAUACGUGUCUGACACGCCACGUGGCGUGUCAUAAAAUGUUGGCUAGCGAAUAUGGAUAAAUUAUUCAACAUAAAUCUAGUCAAACUCAUUUAUAAAAUAAAUUAUAAAUUGGCGGUAGGCGAGCGAUAACCCGCAGUCUAGAACCUGGACAGCCUAGGCUAGGAUUAGGCAGGGAUUAGGCGAUUUGUAUUUUUUAAGAUUUAUUAAUUAAAAAUAUAUAUUUUGUGCAAUUUAAUAUUUGAAAACGGUGAAAUAUGGAUAAAUUAUUCAACAUAAAUCUAGUCAAGCCUAUUUAUAAAAUAAAUUAUAAAUUGACGGUAGGCGGGCAAUAACCCGCAGCCUAGAGCUUGGAUAGCCUAGGCGAGAACUAGGCGAUUUGUAUUUUUUAAGAUUUAUUAAUUGAAAAAAUAUAUUUUAUGUAAUAUAAUAUUUGAAAACGGUCAAAUAUGAAUAAAUUAUUCAACAUAAAUUUAGUAAAACCCAUUUAAAAAAUAAAUUAUAGCUAAAAUUUAGCAUAAUUUCCUGUAAAAGUGAGCAACAACAACAAUAAACAUAUACACUUCUAAUUUUAAACACACCAUUAGCUCUUAUACUCUCAUACUCCCCACAAUACAAUAAUCCCACCACAAAAAGAAAACAAAAUUAGCAGGAGAGCUUAGCAGCCUAAGCGGUGUCUAGGCGGGCCAGGCGGUAUUUAGGCGGGCUAGGCGGCCGCCUACAGCCUGACACAAAGGCCUGAAAGAAAAGUGAGGCUGCUUGUUGCAGCCUAGAGCCUAGACGGGACCUUUUAGAAGCUUGAUUCUAGCUAAUUGCACCGACAUAGUUAGACUUCUCUUAGUUCUCUAGACCAUGCUAGAUCACUUAGCUAGCUCUAGUUGAUUACACAUGUUUCGUUUCAUGAUCAUUCGAUUAAUCUGGCUAGCUACCCCUUGAUUUCUUAGCUCUAGUAGGAUCUAGAAACUUCAAUGUUCCAACAAUAGCAAUUGUCAAACCUCCGAUGUCAACUACAAGAAGUAAUUUUAAUUCUUCACAUACAAUUUAUUAUAAUUCAUUAACUUGAUAUACAUUGUCAACAAAAGUUAGGAAAUAUUUAAGUUCUCCAUUAUCUAAUUCAUGUGAGAGUCAAAUUUUGUUGCAGCCAUCUUUUCCCAGACCGUACAAAUCAUGGAUUUUGUCCGCAUCCUUCGUAGAAGGAUUAUAUCUUAGAUCAUGUACGGAAUAGGACAAAAUACGUGAGCAUUAGAAUACCACAUGAUUAAUUUCAAUUUAGGAAGAUAGUUAAGUUCUCUUAACCACUCUUCUGACUUUAAUCUAUUAGAUGAUCGUUUUUUUCUUUUUCUUUUUUUUUUGAACUUAAAGACAAUUUUUUCAUUAAAAUCAAGUAGAGGGUACAAAACGAAUCGAUCCGUUGCCAUGCGCAUAGAGGACAAACAAGAUUAUCUGAUUCGUAUGAGGAUUAUAUUCUCAGUACAAAUUGAGGUUCACAAGGAGCCUAUAAUCUAAUAUCAAAUAGAUCAUAGGCGAAAGUUUCUAACUAAACUAGAGCAAGAAAAUAAAGCUCCCCUAUGUGAAAAGCAUGGACCAAGAGCAAUUGUUCCACAAUUGAAAAACAAAGUCAAAAACUGAAAUAGAAGAAAUAGUAGAGCUUCACAGAACCUUCUUGCCUUCACACUAGGGCUUAGGGGCACUGCAGGUAGAGUCAGAGAAGGAGUCAGGUCCUCCUGGUUAACACUUCUUCUCGUUUUCGAAUUCUUGGAACCAAAGGGACGUCCUCUCUUCUUCUUCUUGGCUUCAGCUGCACCCAGAGUCAUCUCGGUUAGAUCUGGUGUGAGGCCAAGUACCUUAGCCGAAAGAGUAGCAAGGAAGUCAGGUUGUUUCAUCCUCUUGGUAUGCACAUGAGUUUCAUGUGAUUGCAGUAAGUCUAUCAAUACCUUCAGCUUCUUGGGAAAGGUCUCAGGUGAUGAAGAUCUGCCUCGUUUGCGCCCUUCUCCAACAAUCAAGGCAUCCUCAAGAUCACGUUCCGAUGCAUUUUGGUCAGAAGUUUGAUCAGGAUCAUUCACAGGUAUAAGAGCUAGGGCAUCAUCUUCAGGUUCAUGUGUCGGCUUCUUUAGAAUGGUAGGGCGCUUAUGCAUCUUCUCUUUCUUUUGAUCAAAGACCGAGGUAGCAAUUGGUGAAGAAGGCGAUACCGAACCCUGGAAUUUGAAAGCUCCAUGCACCAGAGCUUUGGAUGCAAAGCUAAUCACAGAGGCAAGGUUUGGCAUGAUGUCUGCAUUAGAAUGACCUACAGUAUUGUAACCAGAGUUUGCUCGGCAUUUUCCAUUUUCAUGGAACACCAAGCAUCACAAAUACUCAGACAAUUUUCAAAGUAAAAAUCAAUCUCUUCCUCAGCAUCCGUUGCUAACUUGAUGAUUUUAGAGUUAAGGAUAGGAUCAGAGAGUUUCUUCUCAACCCUAACCCUAACCCUAACCCUAACCCUAACCUUCUUUGUUCUUGUGAAAAGCUUGUCAUCAUAUUCGAUAUAAUGACCAGGAACAGACGCAAUACCAAGAAAAUUCUCAGGGAUUUCAUACUUAGGUGGUAUGUUUUGAAUACGUACCUAAAAGAAUAAAGAGUCCAUGGCGAAGCUCUUGAUUGAUUUGACGUCAUCAUAUGGUUGGAUCAGAAUCGGCACCUGCUGGUACCACCAAGGUCCUCCUCGGAGAACUUUGUUCAUGUCCUUGAUGAGAUCAAAGCUGAUGAUAAAGAUAUUAUUCGGACGUUCCUAGAUCUGAAAUUUUCGCUCCAGGAUCCAUACCCUUCCACAGAACUGCUUGAGUUCCAUCAAGCUUGGAGGGGUUGAGUUUAGCGGCUUCGUUAUCAAGAAGGACUGCGUAACACCUCUUUUAGGAGCAGAGAUGCGGUGAGAGAGAUCCAUAACCUUUGAAUUUGCAAGAGCCAAGGACGCAGCAAAGGACUUGGUGACAUCCUUGAUUGAUGCAGAUUUGAUCGACGACGAGGAGGCAAAAGAUUUGCGCCAAUUAUGCAAAGAGGUUGCAGAGGACAAGUGAUUUGGUGUUGGUGAUGGAGAAGAGGAGGGGAGGAUGAUUUCGGGAAAUUGAAAGCCAUGGAUGUAGUGAGAUUUGGUGAUGGACAGGCGGCAAUAUUUGGAGGAGUAGGGUUAGGGUUUGGGGAGCGCAGCAACGCUCUUAGAGUUUGGGAGAUAGGCGUGUUCUCUAUUACGUGCCAUUACAAUAAUUUUUUGUGAAAAGAAAAAACAUACCUAUUAUAACAACUUUACAAUAGUCUCCUCGCACAAGAAAAAGACUACCAAAGAGAAAUUUCCUAUGCUUUUACUUGGUUUCAUGGAAAAAAAAUUGCCUAUUAUAACUGGACUUAGAAUCUAUUAGAUGAUUGUUUAAUUAAAAGGAAACACAGUUUAAGCAUUGACUUUUAGAAUUUUUUUGUAAAAUUGCAAAUUGCAAAGAUUGAGACAGCUAAGUUUUUUUUUUUUUUAAUACAAGGGCUAAACGGUAGCCCUCACGCCAUAAUCAUUAAUGAAACCUCAGAAUACAAGGGGGGACGUUGUGCCUAAACCCCAUACUGUAAGAAUACCCUAAAUUAACAUUAGGCAUGUCUACAAAAUCUAUGUAUUCUAACAAGCAACAUUUAGUAAAAAAUGCAUCAUUAGCUAUUCCAUUUGCUUUACAAUUUUGGCGACAUACAUGAAAAAUACCGCUCAUGUAGAGCCAUAGCCAUAAGUUAUAAUAUCUAUCAGUUUUCCGGCUCUGAUGCCACUGGGAAUAACCAGUGACCCCAAGAUUCAUCUUGUCACUAGGAGGCAACAACCAUUUGAUAAAACAAGGAACUCGCCACCUUAUCAAGACAAACAUGGUAUACAACGUGCGCUUUCCAAGACAUAACCCACCAGUAUCCAAAAUCACUAGAAAACAAUAAACCAAAAACCAAAAGGAGCACCUACUACUACUAGGGCGUAGCCCUCUAUCAGCUAAGUUUCUUAGAACUCCUAAUAAUCGGGAGACCAAAAGAAAGAAAAGAAAAAAAAAACGAGAAAAACAAACAAUAUAUGUAUUUAUAAAUUAGUAUUGGCGGCUUCUUGUCCAUAUUUUUUUAUUGUGUUAUGUUCAUUUUUAAUUAAUGUCAUCAUGUUGUUUCAAGCUUCUGUUUUAUUUAUCUAUUUAAUUAUAGGGUAGUGCUAUAGGGCCUUAAUAAGGAGAAAUUUUUAGAUGCUACAGGAGGACCACAUGGCAGUAUGACGUGGUCAUACAUUCCAAUCAAAUAUUGACACAUGAAUUUAUUACAACUAAAAUAUAAACUAAAGUUUUCUAUUUUUUAUGAAAUGACCUUCAUGGGUCUUUGUUGAGUUUGGACUAGGGUUUAGAGUUUAGGGUUUCGAGUUUAGGUUUAGGGUGUUGAGAUAUCAAUCCCACAUCGGGAAAAAUAGGACAUUGCCUAUGAUUUAUAAGGGUUUGGGCCACUCCAUCCGUUGCCAAUUAGUUUUGAAUGUGAAACUCAGACUACUUUAUCAUGGGGGUUAGGGUUUUGGGUCUAAGAUUUAGGGUCUAGGGUUUAUAGUUUAGGGUUUAAAAAGCAACAAACCCAAAAUUGACAUUGACAAAAUAGCUGAUGUAAUUUUUUCUUAAUAAAAUUCAUUUGUCAAUAUUUGAUUGGAAUGUGGUUUCUUAAUAAAAUUCAUUUGUCAAUAUUUGAUUAGAAUGUAGGACCACGUCAUACUGCCACAUGGUUCUCCAGUAGCGAAAAGCCUAAGAUUUAUAGUUUUAAUCCUAUAUGGCAUAUCAUGUCACAUAGACACAUCAUCAAUUUAAUAAAUCAUGUCAUUUCAUUCUUAGGUAAAAAUAUAAUCUUAACUUUAAUAAUUAAUGGACGUUACAUAUUAAUAUAGAAUAUUUUCUUACCUUUUUAAUAUGGAUGCGUAUAUACCAAAUUUAGUUAAUUCGUGAAUAAUAAUGACCAAGUUAAUAAUCAUACCAAAUUAGGAUUUUAUAUCAUAAAUCAAUUUCGUAAAUUUAUUAAAAAAAAUUCUAUCUUUGUGAAUCGAAAUUUAGUUCCAUUUUAAUAUUUUAUUUUUGUAAUUUAAAAUUAUGAUAUUUAUAUAUAAGCCAUUCUGUAUCGAAUUUUUAAAAUAAAAUAAAAAAUAGAAAAAUCUCAAUCAAAUUUCUUUUAGAUGAUUAUGUAUAUAUACUUUAUUUUAGACAAAUUAUAUAUAUAUUUGUAAAAAAAAUAACCUGGACGAAAUUGUUUUUCUUGGACAAAUUAUAUAUGUGUGUGUCUAUAUAUAUUAUAUAUUUCAUAAGAAUUCGUGUUUUUGAACAAGUAUAUUCUUAAAAAUAUAUAUAUAUAUAUAUAUUCACACUAUCAGGAAUGAUAUGAAGCGGACGUCCGUCCGUUCUCCACCCUCCGGUGCCGGCGACGGCGCGCCUCCACCCCAGAACACUCCAGCAGCGUCCCCGACCACUUUCCCUCCCCGGCGAGUCCAUUCUUUUCCGGUUUUCCGGCGAGAUCACCCAAAACUUCAAACAAAGUCGAUCUCGCCGGAAACUGGAAAAAAUGGACUCGCCGGGGAGGGGAAGUGGUCGGGGACACUGUUGGAGUGUUCUGGGGUGGAGACGUGCCGUCUCCGGCGCCGAAGGAUGGAGAACGAACGGACGGACGUCCGCACUUUAAGCCGAGUAACGGACGUCCGCACUUUAAGCCGAGUACGGACGUCCGCACUUUAAGCCGAGUACGGACGUCCGCUCUACAUCCUUUCUGUUCACACUAUAUGUUACGUUCAAUAUAUAUAUUCACACUAUAUGUUACGUUCAAUCUAAGCAUUAUAGUGAUGAAAAGAAAAAGAGAAAGAAAAUGCCAGAAAUAUAUAUUUUUUAAUCACAAAGAAAGACAAAUCAAUUUCUUCUCUUAAUAAAAAGACAAAAUAAUCUAGAAUCAUUAAAUUUGAAAGGAUAAGAUUGUAUUUUUGUUUAAAAAACGACAUGAUCGACAUAAUUAUAUUACAGAUAAGAUAAAAAAUUAUGGAAUAAAAGUCAUAAAUUUUAAGACUUUAUUAAGACCGAUAAUCAUUUUCUUUAAUUAUAUANNNNNNNNNNNNNNNNNNNNCACUAUAUGUUACGUUCAAUCUAAGCAUUAUAGUGAUGAAAAGAAAAAGAGAAAGAAAAUGCCAGAAAUAUAUAUUUUUUAAUCACAAAAGAAAGACAAAUCAAUUUUCUUCUCUUAAUAAAAAGACAAAAUAAUCUAGAAUCAUUAAAUUUGAAAGGAUAAGAUUGUAUUUUUGUUUAAAAACGACAUGAUCGACAUAAUUAUAUACAGAUAAGAUAAAAAUUAUGAAUAAAAGUCAUAAAUUUUAGACUUUAUUAAGACCGAUAAUCAUUUUCUUUAAUUAUAUACAGAUACAUACAUGUAGUUAUGGAUGCUACAUGCAUGCGCGUGAAAUCGAUAAAGGAUGAAACAACCAAUAUAUUGUGCUAAGUUGUUCGAGUUUUAUUUUUUUUCAAUUUUCUAAGGUGGACCCCAACCUGCCUAAUGCCCACCACACCAGGUUCCGUCUAGCCCGCAUAGGCCCACUUCCCGUAUGUUUCACCCAUGUGAAUAUGGGCCGGGUCAAACCCACUUCCCUUGUGCUGAAAUCCAAUCUGAAAGUCUGGAGCCAGUUCUGGCAGCAAGUGCAUGCAGUUGCUCUUAAACUUGACCACUUUCUUUCUGUCAAUCAUGUCAGCGUGGGUUCAAAAUUAUCUUGUGUAAAAGCUCCUGUUUGGUGAUACAAGAACGGUUCAAAUAUCGACUAAAUCGAGCAAGGAAAUGAAUCGUGUUGAAGAGUUUAGGAAGGUUGCCGAUCAUUUUGGUGCAGGUGUGGCUGGAGUAGAAAUGGCAUGGGAUCGAGUUCCAGUUACUUGACCAUGACAAGAAACAGCAACACUAUCUUCUUUAACGGAUCGGAGCAAACUUGACUAUGUGAUGUCUUAAUAUAUAAUGGGCUUUAAUUCUGAUUAUGUUGAAAUUCAGAUCCUAAUCAAACUAGGUAAAAAUGCAAAAAAAAAAAGAAGAAGAAGAAGAUAAGUUUCCGAGAUUCAAAAGGAUAUAUAGUUUCCCACAUUCAAAACGGAAAGUUUUUGUAUCAAAACUGGAAUACCCUAACGUAGUCACCAAGCUAUCGUAGUGCGUCAUAAACAAGGAAAAGAGGAAAGUUCUUGUAUGAAAACUGGAAUUACCCUUAACAUGGACACCAAGCUACCGUAGUCCGCCAAGGAAUAGGAAUUAAAGUUUCACAUAGUCCGUCUAGGAAAAGGAAAGUCUCCCAAUCAUAUAUAAGAGUGGCAUCACUCCAGUAUCCCACUCAGAAACUUCGCGGAUCCACAGAUCAACCAUGGCUCUUCUGCAACGACGUUGCAACAUGCGCUCUUUGUCUUUACCCCUCAAACAAUGCCGCCCGCUUCUCUCUCUCAAAACCAUCCCUCGCCCCGCCGUAACGGCCACCGCCACACCCAUCUUGGCCUCCGACCUCGAACGACUCCAAGUCUUGGGCCAGGGCAGCGGUGGCGUCGUCUACAAGGUCCUUCACAAACCCACCUCCACCACUUACGCUCUCAAACGACUCAACUCCUCCUCCGAUAACAACACCACAGUUGAGAGCGAACUCGACGUCCUCCGCCGCACCACCGGCUCUCCCCACGUCGUGCACUGCCACGCAGUCUUUGAGGAGCCCUUCGGAAACUCCUCGGUUCUCAUGGAGUACAUGGAGUCUGGUUCUCUUGAAACCUUGCUCAAGUCCCAAGGUCCUUUCUCCGAAGAAAACCUAGCCCCCAUCGCAAGGCAAGUCCUCCAAGGCCUUGACUACCUUCACAACACUCACAAGAUCGUUCAUGGCGAUAUAAAGCCCGGUAAUCUGUUAAUGAACGACAAGAAUGAGGUCAAGAUCGCCGACUUUGGGUGCAGUUCCGACGAGUCUUGUAGAUCAUCGACCAUGGGGACUUGUGCUUAUAUGAGUCCGGAGGGGCUUAACCGGGACAUGUAUGGUGGAUCUUGCAGUGGCUAUGCUAGGGAUAUAUGGAGCUUUGGGGUGUUAGGAUUCCCGGGAUCAAACCCAUGGGAAGACCAUUAGAGAGAAGGAAAUGAAAGCUACAAGCUAAGAAAUAAGAAAUAAACUAAGAAAAUAAACUUCAAUAUACUUCAAUACCAUUACAAGCAUCCUAGAUUGCCUUAUAUAGUAGAAGAAUAAACCCUAAAAACCCAUGUAAGAGACAAACCGAGUCCAUUAACCCGUUACAUCAGAAACAAAAAUUUCUAAGAGGCCCAACCCAAGUAUGAAGCCCAUCUAAAUAGAUAGAAUCAUAACAUUUCCACCCGCUCAAAGAAUAGGCUUAACCUCAAGCCUGGAAGCUUCUUUCAGAAUUUGUCUAGUAGUCCAACAGCUGUCAUUGUACUGAGAAAUUAGAUGCUUCAUACCAGUAUUCUUAGCAAUACAUCUUGAAGGCUGAUCAUUGAUAUAUCUAUAAAUCUCAAUAUCAAACAGAGCAAACCAUGCAGCAAGGGUAUCCAUCACAUGUGUGAGUGACAUCAACAGUACACCAAUAAUCAGAAAGGUAUUAAGUGAAGUAACAAGAGCAUAAUCAACCACACUGAUCAGCAGGGAGGCCAUUCUAUUGUCAAACGCAGCAGCAUUUGUGUUCAACAUUCCCAAGAUAGUGGCGUAAAAACAAUGAAGAGUAGCAAGGCUAUUGUCACCAAGACCCUGGAAUAAGAUGUCAAGAUUAUCAUCUGCAUAUGUGGAGAAAUCAAGGUCCUGGAAAAUGACAUUGAUAAACAAAGGCUAUUCAUUUUCUUUUGAUGCCAAAUCUGCCUCUUCCCAAGAAAUGUUUGCAAAUGCAGCCCAUAUUUCAUUGGUCUCUGUAAGGUUGCUAUUGUUACUACACUUUAUCUCAACAAGUCUUGCAAUUUUCUCAAACUCUUGCUUAUGAUCAGUAAAGUGCUGACAAACUGAGAUCAACACAAAAACAAUUAUAGCAGAACAUUUUUGGUGUUUAUGCUCAAGCUGGACUAGCUCAAUGGAUAGAAAGUUUGCAUGCAAUUCAUGAAUGAUUGCACUUCCAAUAGAUAAACAUAUAUUCUCCCACAUAUUUCCAAGCUCAUCAUCAGGUUUCAUUUGUCCCUUCAUGUCAAAAACUUUGAGCAAAAAAUAUAAUGAAAUCAGGAACACUCUUUCAAGCAACCUCUUAAAUGAAUCAAUAGCUUCCUUGCCAUGACCACGUGGCCCAAAAAUUAGACCUAUGUUCCAAACACAAUUAUACAUCUUGUAUGCAUGCUUCCAAGUUCCAGAGUGAGAAUAAAUAUCAACAAGAGUACUCGUAACGGAUCCAAUUAACCCAGAUAUAUCGUCAUGAAGCAAAUACCCAGCAUUCAAAGUAUAAUAAAUCAUGACAUAGAGCUCGACCACAUCACAUAAUACCUUAUCAAGAGCUGCUGGAAAAUAUUGAUGACUGAAAAUGAUGGUAGUGUAUACCUGAGAGACUGAGGUUUGGAUCACUUGGCUAAUAUCUGCCAAUACUUGUCUGCAAGAGGAUGGCGGCUCGAUUGCUAUCUCACAAUUACCAAGUUCAAAGAAAAGAAUGAACCACAACAACAGCUGUGAUCGAGAAUGGGUGCCAGUGGAGCAUACUGUCCUCAGAAGAAGAUAGUCUCUUAUCAAUUUCAGCCUUAACUUUUGAUUUCCAUUUCUCCAACAUUCCCACCAACACCUUUCCAGAAUUCUUUUGCAUUUCAUCAUAUUUGUCUCUAGCAAACAAACUCUCUACAUCAAUAUUAUUAUCAUCCAAAAGGCUAUUAUCAGUAAUCAUGAUAGAGUCCAAAGAGUGAUUAAUUAUAUCAAAUAGUACCUCUUUUGCCUUAUCAAAAUGACCUGACUCGAAAAACUGAUUCACCAACUCUUCUUUGCAAAAAACAUACUUGAAUCAGACCAUGUUGCUCAGUGUCAGAAUCAUAUGGCACAUUCAAAAAUUCCUCGAAAAGCUUAAUUACCUCCAUGUGGUAGCCAAACAGCUUGUCAUUCAAUUUAUUUCUAAAGCACUGAACAAUUUCAACAGUACCAUUUGCCAACAAAUCAUUUGACAAGCUUGAAGCAAGUGUUAUGGCGCAUGACACAAUUUUCUUCCUCAUGCUGACAAUCAUGUCUGAGGUACCUGCUUCCUUCAACUUGUCCUGAGCAGCAGCCAAACACCGCAACUUCAUACGGUAUUUAUGAAAAUUCACGGGCAACUCUUUCUCCAUUUUAUAUUCAGAGAAAGUAAUCGGAAACUCAAAGCAAAUUUUGUAGGUAGCACAUAGAUCAUCAACUUGGAAGUCAUCAGGAGGCCUAGUGCAGUCCUUAAUAUGCUCAUUAACAAUUUUGAUUGCUUCCUUUGAAUCAAGAUCUUUAGGAAUCAGAGAAGACUUGUGGCUGCAAACAUCCAAUUGACGGCUAGCUUCUAAGUCAUGCAUAUAAGAAGAGACUAUAGUGCCUCUACUGAAAUGAGUUGACUGGGGCAUGUUCAAGUUUUCGUUGAAAACAGGUUGGUUGACAUCAUUUCUGAACCAUCAAAUCCAUCAGUAUGCUCCUUGUCUGGUGGAUCAACUUCAUCAUCUCUCCCAUAUUCUGAAGUCAUUUCAUCAUGCUUAGCAGUAACACUCUUAGUCUCCUUCAACUCUCUAUCAUCCUGGAGUCUACCAAUCAAUUUUACUGUAACAACAGGCCCUUCAGUACUUUGAAUUGCAUCCUCCCUACUUCCAAAGCUAGCACCCAUCAUAUUACUCACAUGAUUCAAUUUAUCAGUCAUGCAAGUAGAAAUACCAUCCUCACAAUUGCUUCCAGAUACCACAACAACAUUAAUAUCAUUAUUCAAACUCAAAAUCUCACCAGUAGAUGUUGAAAUAUCAGAUGCCACAGGUUUAGUGCUUAUUUCACUAAUGAAACCAACUUCAUGUUGCCACAAAUUCAACCCCGUAUUAGUAGAGAUUCUUACCGGAUUACCAUCAAUGGUAGCCGCAAUAAGGUCAACUGAUGUGGGCGGUAGAGACCCAGACUUCAGACACAUAUCAGCUUGGCUUCCAUCAUUGGCAGCAAUGAGUGAUGACGAACCCCCAGUUGUGGCCGGAAUCGACUCAGGUAUUGACGACUGCGGCGGAGAGACAAAUUUUUGUGGAUUAUCAACUCGCCUUGCCGGAGAUUGCCAUGAACCCAUUAACAACCGUAGCUCCUCCUUGAAUUCCGACAUGAAGGUAUCCAUUGAUCUCUUCAAGGAUUCUCGCAUCUCACUCAACUUAUCAUUUGUGCGUUCUUUGUGUGAGACUUUGCUGUCGUUUCGGUGACAAUAGUUUCCCACUCCCCUUGAGCUUGACCAUAGUCUCUGGUUGUUCCACAUAUGAGCCAUGGAAUCUCAGACCGGUCUUCACAUCUUGUGUGAUUGCACCGAGCAGGCGCUGAAAUUUGGGCUUGCGCAUCAAGAGCUGAUAGCGCUUCUGGGAGUUGCAGGUCUUGCGAGGCAGGACAGUUCCUAGCCUAGAUCGGCUGGGCUUCUUCACUCCUCCAGUGGCCGCAGUCGACUAUAGAGCGACUUGUUUGCAAUGAGCCCUCCACAGAUGAGAGUGAACCACCAAAGGUUCCAGUGAACUGUUUGGUGAAAUUGGAGGUCGAAUCUGGAGAUUCGAGUUAGGAUGAGGUGUGUAGUAAGAAGGGAUUGAUGGAAUUUGAGGAGUGGUGGUGGUGAGUCGCUGUGGAGUAAGAGAAUGAGUAGGUUGCAUGGGAGCAAUAGAAUGAGUAGGUUGCAUGUGAGGGGAAUGGUAUUGUGCCUGAGUUUGAGACGCACAAGGGAAUCGGAGAGGAAGCAAGUGCCCAUUAAUUAGGGUUGCAGAGUGCUGCGGUGGUGGGUUAGAGUGUGGUUGUGUGAAAUGGUAAGGUGGUGGUGAAUAAUAGUUGUUCUGCGGUGGUGGGUAAAGGUUUGGUUGAGUGAAAUGGUGUGGUGGUGGGUAAGAGUUUGGGUGUGUGAAAUUGGUCACUGAAUGAUAAGAGGCUCCGACGGGAGAGUGAUUGUAGCAAUUGCCGGCAAUCUCUCCGCCGUAUCCCGCCGGAAUCAGGCCCAGAUGAGGGCUCUGAUACCACUUGUUAGGAUUCCCGGGAUCAAACCCAUGGGAAGCCAUUAGAGAGAAGGAAAUGAAAGCUACAGCUAAGAAAUAAGAAAUAAACUAAGAAAAUAAACUUCAAUAUACUUCGAUACCAUUACAAGCAUCCUAGAUUGUCUUAUAUAGUAGAAGAAUAAACCCUAAAAACCCAUGUAAGAGACAACCCGAGUCCAUUAACCCGUUACAUCAGAAACAAAUAUUUCUAAGAGGCCCAACCCAAAUAUGAAGCCCAUCUAAAUAGAUAGAAUCAUAACAUGGGGUGACUCUAAUGGAGCUAUACAUGUGUCACUACCCUUUGCUUCUUAAAGGUCAGAGCAAAGAUCGGACCUCCCUUAUGAUGACUAUCUGUUUUGGAGAGGCACCGUGCUUGCCGGAGGGUGCGUCGGAAGACUUCCGGAGCUUUAUUGAGUGCUGCAUGCACAAGGACGCCGCCAAGAGGUGGACAGCGGCUCAGCUCUUGACCCACCCAUUCGUCUGCAAGGUUCAAUCCGAGGAGUGCAAACCUAGUUUGGUGAACAAGAAACGCAAACGAGACGAUAAUGAUGAUGGUGAUGAUGGUGACGUGUGAAGUGAGAGAUCUCAAAAAGUAGUCAAGCUAGGUUGAACUAAGUCAGUUAGCACUUCAUGUAUUACGAUCUUCUCUGUAAAAAUUGAGAAAAUCGACUCUUUGUAAGUAUCUAACUCCUUCUGAUUUGUAUAUGAAGGCCAAAAUGGUGGUCACUAUUGCUCUGAACAAAUCGGAAGUUUAAUGUUUCAUGUGUUUUUUUUCUAAGAAAUUAUAUUGUUUUGAUAUGCAAACCAAACUUGUUCAACCAGAUGAUGAUGGUGAUGAGGGCAGUAAGAGAUGUCAAAAAUGAAUAAAGGUUUAGUUAAAAGUUCAUGAGUUAUUAAUCAAGGUUGAAGUUUGUCAAAAAAAAAAAAAAAAAAAAAAAAUUCAAGGUUGAAGAUAAUUUGAAUCUUUGUAAAUAUUGAGAAGAAGAAGAGCUGUGUAUAUAUAUACAUGUAUCAAUGACAUAAUGAUGCACAAUAGCAUCAUUUGUGUUUCAAGUUUCGUCUCUUUUGAGCAAAUAUUAAUCUCAGUGCAAUCCAAACCUGUUAAAACAAAAAGGGAAAAUUGCAAGGAUGAGCGAACAGAGAGAUCUGAAACCUAAAAGUUGUACUAUGAUAAUAGUACAUAUAUUACAAGGUGAAUUUGAUGUUUGAAGUCUCCACUUGUCAUUUCAGUAUAAAGACAACUAGAAACGACCAACAGAGCCUAGAAGGAAGCACAGCACAAUUAUGAACACAGUACAAUAUAGUGAGUUUCUAACAACAAUGCCAAUUAUGUAACAAACUCUAUUGCUGUCCGAAAUGCUUAAUGCCAUCGUUUGCCAGACUUCAGCGACGAAGUGCUGCUUCCAGCAAUGGAUUUCCUAGGACCUGACAUGAAUUUUACAAGGGAAACACCAGAAAAUGAGUAGAAACAAGAAAGUGAGUGGCAUCAACGUAAGGAAAAGAGUAAGAUUCCUUGAAUUAGGGUUUAUUUGCCGGGUGCUUUCUAGUUGAAAGCAGAGUCUGCGUCGCCGUGUGGUUCAUUUGCCGGCGAAAAAUCGAAGUGAAAAAUUAGGGUUUAAAGUGUGUGUGGGGUUUAUGGAUUUGCAGAAUAAAUUCAAAUAGGGCAGCUUUAUAUGUAAUAAUGUGCGCACGUUACCAAAUUAUUCUUAUUCGUUUUGCUAAUAUAUGCCAGGGUGUGAGGAUAACGGGAAAUUGAAAGAGAGUCUACCACGUGUCUGUCACGAUUUAUCUGUAUGAUUUUCUAGAUCUUGAUUAGGCGGCUCAAUGUCACGUGAUACGACUGCCCUAUGUUACUCUUUGUUAUUUGUUUCAAGACAUAUUCUAGACGCUUAUUAUGAUCAGAGUUUUAGACUCAAUUUUCCCACGUAUUGAGCAAUUUCAUCAAUUAAGGAAUAAUGACAGUUGCAUCAGUCUUUUAUCAAAAAUGAUUUCAUUCAUCAUCGUUACCAAACACAUUUUCUAGGAAUCUGAUUUUUUCCUUCUCGAUAAAAAUACAAAAAUAAUAUUUUUUCUAACAAAUUCAUUCCGUGAAUCAAACGAGUCCUUGUUCUGGUGAUACCCUAAUUUAUUCUCACAUAGUAUCAUCAAGCCACAUUGACAGUACAAAAUUAUUACAAAUGAUGAGUGGGACUAGGAGCAGGAGGUUUGAUGUUGCAGAUCACGUUUUCGCAAUGAUUUAGGCAAUUUCCAUUCUUUGGCUUAUCUGCCAUGAAAAAAACACAGUAAAUUAAGCAUGUGUAUUCUAUACAUACGUAUUUGCAUACAUACAUAUAAUAGAAUUAAGAACGGCAAAUAGGAAGGAGAUGUGUUGUAUAUAUGUACCAUUUCCAUGUUUCAGACACUGAUCAUAAGUGCAGCCAAGUUUGCAGUAGUAGUACUGGUGAUCAAGAUCCUGACGUGCUAGAGCGGCACCUGGGCAGCCAGCUAUACAUCUAAAGAAACAUGCCAUGGUUCCACCUCCACAUUUAUCAUAACAGGCUUGGAUGCAUUGGGAUUCCUCCAGCAUACCUGCAUUUACAUUUCCGAUGAAAAGAAUCACCAUCAUUGCAAUUAGAGAGACAAACUUCAUGGACUCCAUUGAUAUUUCUCUCUGAAUUUUCUUGAAGAAACUCAGGGUUGUAUGACUUGUAUCUGGAUGAAACACUUUCACCUGAAUAAACCAAGGACCCAUGAACGCCCUUUAAUACUACUUGUCCUCCACCAUUUAAGGUAGCUUUAUAAAAUAAAAUCAUAUAAAAGAUUUAUAACAUGAUUGGAGAAAAUUGAGCAAGCUAGAACGUACCAUGUAUCCGAUUAAUAAUUUGGUAAGAAGUCAUUCUACCUUAUUUUACCUUUAUAAAGGAUAUAACGUAUUUGGUUCGAUGCAUUGAUUAUGAAUUAGCUGUAUAUAUUGUGCAAUUCCUAUAUUGUGCCAUUAGCUAUUAAUUAGUGGCAGAACAAAACAAUAUUACAGAUGAACAGAAGCAUGCAUGUCACUGGAAAAAGAUGAGGAAAACAGAAACACAGCUAGAAAUUGAAGACGACCCAUUACUAUUUACUAAAAUGGGUUUUGUAAUAUAAAUAUCAGAAGAAGAGUGUCCUGCCGUGUCCGGUCGAUUCUGGGUCGCGCCGUGCCGGCCAAUCCGCCGGAGAAAGAUGAGCCGAGGGUCAGAAGAGCCCGAUAUCGAUGACGACGAGAGGGGGUCAGACCCACUUCCCUUAUGUUGAAAUCCAAUCUGGAAGUCUGGAGCCAGUUCUGGCAGCAAGUGCAUGCAGUUGCUCUUAAACUUUGACAACUUUCUUUUUGUCAAUCAUGGUAGUCUGGUUCCAAAUUAAUUAUCUUGUGUACAAGCUCCUGUUUAGUGAUAUAUAAAAGAACGGUUCAUAUAUCGACUGAGUCGAGCAAGGAAAUGAAUCAUGUUAAAGAGUUUAGGAAGGUUGCCGGCCGAUCAUUUUGGUGGUGCAGUGCAGGUGUGGCUGGAGUAAGAAACAGCAACACUAUCUUCUUUAACGGAUCGGAGCAAACAGUAGUAUAUAUUGAGCACUUAACUAUGUGAUGUCUUAAUGGGCUUUUGUUAAUUCUGAUGGGUAAAUCCCAAAAAUAAAAGUAAAAAUGAAACAAAACGAUAAGUUUCCCAUAUUCAGAAGGAUAUAUAGUUUCCCAGAUUCAAAAGGAUAUACCCACGUAGUCACCAAGCUAAUUAACAUAGUCCGUCAUAAACUGGGAAAAGAGGAAAGUUUUUGUAUCAAAACUGGAAUACCCUAACGUGGACACCAAGGUAAUUAACAUAGUCCGUCUAGGAAAAGGAAAGUUCCCCAAUCAUAUAUAAGAGUGGCAUCACUCCAGUAUCCCACUCACAAACAAUGGCUCUUCUCCAACGACGUCGCAGCACCCCCUCUUUGUCUUUAGACUUCACCCCCGUCAACCACCGCCCCCUUUUCUCUCUUCCAACCAUCCCUCGCCCCGCCAUACCCACCACCACCUUCACCUCCUCCUCCACCGCCACACCCAUCUUGGCCUCAGACCUCGAACGACUCCAAGUCUUGGGCCAUGGCAGCGGUGGCAUCGUCUACAAGGUCCUUCACAAGCCCACCUCCACCACUUACGCUCUCAAACGACUCACCUCCGACAACAACAACACUGAACUCGACGUCCUCCGCCGCACAACCGGCUCUCCCGACGUCGUGCACUGCCACGCCAUCUUUGAGGAGCCCUCGGGAGACGUGUCAGUUCUCAUGGAGUACAUGGACUCCGGUUCUCUUGAAACCUUGCUCAAGUCUCAAGGUCCCUUUUCCGAAGAAAAACUUGCCCCCAUCGCAAAACAAGUCCUCCACGGCCUUGACUACCUUCACAACACUCACAAGAUCGUUCAUGGGGAUAUCAAGCCCGCGAAUCUUUUAAUGAACAACAAGAACGAGGUCAAGAUCGCCGACUUUGGGUGCAGUUCCGACGAGUCUUGCAGUUCGUUGACCAUGGGGACUUGUGCUUAUAUGAGUCCGGAGGGGCUAAACCGGGAGAUGUAUGGUGGGUCUUGCAGUGGCUAUGCUAGGGAUAUUUGGAGCUUUGGGGUGACUCUAAUGGAGCUAUACAUGGGUUACUUCCCUUGGCUCCUCAAAGGUCAGAAAAAGGAUCUGCCCUCCCUUAUGUGGAUGUGCACCAUCUGUUUCGGAGAGGCACCGUGCUUGCCGGAGGGUGCGUCGGAAGACUUCCGGAGCUUUAUUGAGUGCUGCAUGCACAAGGACGCCACCAAGAGGUGGACAGCGGCUCAGCUCUUGACCCACCCCUUCGUCUGCAAGGUUCAAUCCGAGGAGUGCAAACCUAGCUUGGUGAACAAGAAACGCAAACGAGACGAUAAUGAUGAUGGUGAUGAUGGUGACGAGCAAAGUGAGAUCUCAAAAAGUAUUAGGCUAAACUAAGUCAGUUAGCACUUCAUGUGUUACGAUCUUCUCUGUAAAGAUUGAGAAAAUCGACUCUUUGUAAAUAUCUAACUCCUUCUGAUUUGUAUAUGAAGGCCAAAAUGGUGGUCAUUAUUGCUCUGAUAUGGAACAAAUCGGAAUUUUAAUGUUUCAUAGUGUUUUUUUUUUCGACAAAGGAAUGUUUCAUGUGUUGAUGAACUAAACGUGUAACAAAUUAGAAAUAUAUUGUUUUGAUAUGCAAACUAAACUUGUUCAACCAGAUGAUGAUGGUGAUGAGGGCAGUAAGAGAUGUCAAAAAUGAAUAAAGGUUUAGUUAAAAGUUCAUGAGUUAUUAAUCAAGGUUGAAGUUUGUCAAAAAAAAUCUUUGUAAAUAUUGAGAAGAAGAGCUGUGUAUAUAUACAUGUAUAAAUGACAUAAUGAUGCACAAUAGCAUCAUUUGUGUUUCAAGUUUCGUCUCUUUUGAGCAAAUCUUAAUCUCAGUGCAAUCCAAACCUGUUAAACAAAAAGGGAAAAUUGCAAGGAUGAGCGAAGAGAGAGAUCUGAAACCUAGAAGUUGUACUAUGAUAAUAGUACAUAUAUUACAAGGUGGUUUUGAUGUUUGAAGUCUCCACUUGUCAUUUCAGUAUAAAGACAACUAGAAACUACCAACAGAGCCUAGAAGGAAGCACAGCACAAUUAUGAACACAGUACAAUACAGUGAGUUUCUAACAACAAUGCCAAUUAUGUAACAAACUCUAUUGCUGUCUGAAAUGCUUAAUGCCAUCGUUUGCCAGACUUCAGCGACGAAGUGCUGCUUCCAGCAAUGGAUUUCCUAGGACCUGACAAGAAUUUUACAAAGGAAACACCAGAAAAUGAGUAGAAACUAGAAAGUGAGUGGCAUCAACGUAAGGAAAAGAGUAAGAUUCCUUGAAUUAGAGCUUCAGUGGUAAAAGUAGAUCAAUCACUGCAACUCUAAAGUUGUAUACAAGAUAGAGGAGGAUUCAAAUUGAUACUUACUUGGCAAAACCUUUGACGAGCUUUUAACCAGUGAUGAACGAGUAACUUUUGUUUCCACAAACUUGGGUGUUGGCUUUGGAAGUUUAGAUAUUGGCGCAAACCUUGAAAUCAAAUUCAUUUAAAAGUAACAUUAGAUUCAUAGGAUCUCAGGGAGCUUAAUUACGAGAAAAGUCCAAAAAAAAAAUGUCAUUAUUAGCAUAAAAUGAAAUGAGAUUGAGAAACCCACCUUACACUCGGAUGGGAUGGUGUCUUCUCGCCUAGAGCAUUCUGAGCUUGAGUUGUCUUGGCUACUGAAAUUUCAGUUGUUCUGCUUUCUGUUGGUUUUGUAACUUCAGGAAAAAGGGUAAACUCCACGGCAGAACUGGAUAGUGAACCAUCGGUUUCUGUUCCCAUUGAUAGACCACCAUCAGAUAUGUCGCUCAAUCUCUCCCCAGCGUCUUCAUCACCAAAGCCCAAGAGCUCAAAGUCUUCAUUAAAAUUUGGACUUGUAUCGCCUCCAAGCUUUGACGUCUGUGAAUCUUGCUUAUGAUGUCUAAAGUCAUCCAUUGACAGCUGAGAACCAACUUCAGAAUGCUUAUCAUCCGCCGCCUCUGAGAAACUGUCCCUAUAAGGACCCACUUUAUCAACUAGGCUUGAGGCUUUUUUCUGUCGAGGACUCCCAAUCGAAUGUCGAGGGCUCCCAAUCGAGUAUCUUCUCGGAGAGGAAGACGCAGAUCUUAGUGCACUCAUACCACGGUAUACCCCAUUACUAUUGCUCUUCAGUCUAUCAAUCUCCUCAUCUUUCUUGGCAACCGUCUCUUUGAGCGAUGCCACCUGCAAGAGUUAACAGAUGAUUAGACAAACAGAUUAAAUAUAUAUAUAUAUAUCCGGCCUGUAUAUAUAUAUAUAUAUAUCCCAACUUCUGGAUGCCAAAUUUGUCAACUAUGGUGUCAACUAUGGUAGGGAAAAGAAUGUGCUGAAAUGAGGCAUAGUUCAUGCUGUAACUAAUCGGUAAGUACUAAGUAGUUAAUUACCAAACUAAAGGAGAUAUCAACCAGCAUGAUCGCAUGCCCAGUUAGCAUAACAUUAACGUGGUCUACUCAGCAAGAAUUUGAAGGGUAAACCCAAAAACACUUCACUCCAAAGGAACUCCUAUAGACUCAUCAAUUGCUGACUGCAGCAUAUGUAUAAUUCUAAUAGAGACAAGUAAUAGCAUGCAGUUGGCAACACAAUCAUCCCAUAGGAUACAAAUAAAUAGCAGUAGUGCAAAGGCAGAGCCAAAAAUUGUAAAUGGGACUACUUGAUGAAAUUGCUACACUGAAAGGUGGUAGGAAACAUGGGUGGUAUUUUCCUUUUUUCCCGCAAAUAGUACCUGGGCUCAGCCCCACCCCCCGGAUCUUGACUGGUUAUAUAAGAGUAUAAUCUACUUCUAAGAAGAAAUGCCACAUUAUCAGAAUUUGAUUUAAAAAGGCAGGACUGAAUUAUAUAGAGGACACGUUCAAACAGAUAAAUCAGUACCUGUUCCAUAAGCUCUCUGACAUAUCUUCCUUCCUUAUUGCUUUUUGCAGCACCUAAUUCGACGCCAGAAACCCUCUCUGCAAACUUCAGCGUACUUAUAGUUUCAGAGAAUGAUUGAGCAUCAGGAUUAAGCUGGACAAACAUGAGCGUCUUUGCUUGACCCCCUACAGGUAUAGACAAGCAAUAAAUAAACCAUUUAUCUAUGGAAGAUAGAGAGUUAUGGAAUGGAACUUGAAAUGGAUUUGUUAGCACAAAUGUAAACAGCUGGACAAAUACCUAAGGAACUCUGGAGCACUUGAGUUAAUUUGCUAUUUCUAUAUGGAACAUGUGGAUUCUUUUGCGCAAGAGCAAAGAUAACAUCUCCAAGGGCUGACAAUGAUUUGUUAAUAUGUUGUGCCUCCCUCAGCCUAUCUCCAGUAGCUUCAGAGCGAUCCACUCGUUCACUGCCAGCAAGAUCCACUAAAUGUAGGCUACCGCGAAGAGCAGUGUCGGUCUUCAAGUCCACGCCACGAACAUGAACAGUCAGAACACUGCACCAAGAUUGAUUAUGAAACACAGCUUGAAAGACACACAUAAAAAAUUGAUGAGCAGAGUUUUUACAGAAAAUCCAACCUGUGAGAUCUGCUACUUCUUUCAUUUAGGGCAGUAGCGCCGACUGACCUAUUUGCCAAGCCAAUAUGCAUCAACUCUAGGACAUCUGCGGUUGAGUUAACAAGAUGCAUGCUUGCAUCAGGGACAGCUAACCCAUUUGGUUGGGUAGAAUUCCAGAUCCCAAGUGUGUGCAAGUUAAGGAAAAAAAAAAGUUUCGAUACCACAUAGAAAGGCAAGGAUCAAUAUCAUCACUAAGGAAGCAUAAAGAUGAACAAAGUUUAAACAACAAAAUUGCUACUACUGACUUGACACUGAACCAUAAAAACAACAUUCAGAUGCAAAAGAAAUCCAUGAACUAAAGGAUAUCUUUUUCGAGAACUGUCACUUGAGAGUAAAUCAAGUACUUGUUCAUUGUAUAUCUCAACCAUUUGAACACCAAUUUCAUAUUCUACAGAGCUUUUCCUGCUCUGAGAUAUUUGGAAAAGGUCAUUCAGGGCUCGAUAGUUGACACCCCAUUCCUCUGUUGAUGAUACACUGGGCCCACUCUAAAGGUAACAAAAAAAAAAUGGUAAGACACAAGUAACAUGAUGUGGGGUU
rnacentral:lncRNA from 1 species